rnacentral:rRNA from 1 species
AGUGAACGCUGGCGGUAGGCCUAACACAUGCAAGUCGAACGGCAGCACAGUAAGAGCUUGCUCUUACGGGUGGCGAGUGGCGGGCGGGUGAGGAGUACAUCGGAAUCUACUUUUUCGUGGGGAAUAACGUGGGGACAGUUCUGCUAAUACCGAAUAUGAUGAACGGGUGAAAGCAGGGGAUCUUGGCGCUUUUGCCGUUUGAUUUAGCGGGUGCCGGAUUAGCUAGUUGGGGGGGUAAAGGCACACCAAGGCGACGAUACGUAGCUGGUCUGAGAGGAUGAUCAGCCACACUGGAACUGAGACACGGUCCAGACUCCUACGGGAGGCAGCAGUGGGGAAUAUUGGACAAUGGGCGAAAGCCUGAUCCAGCCAUACCGCGUGAGUGAAGAAGGCCUUCGGGUUGUAAAGCCCUUUUGUUGGGAAAGAAAAGCAGCAGGUUAAUACCCCGCUGUUCUGACGGUACCCAAAGAAUAAGCACCGGCUAACUUCGUG